GACGAACGCUGGCGGCGUGCCUAAUACAUGCAAGUCGAGCGAAUGGAAGGGAGCUUGCUCCCUGAAGUUAGCGGCGGACGGGUGAGUAACACGUGGGCAACCUGCCUGUAAGACUGGGAUAACUUCGGGAGACCGGAGCUAAUACCGGAUACGUUCUUUCCUCGCAUGAGGAAAGAUGGAAAGAAGGUUUCGACUAUCACUUACAGAUGGGCCCGCGGCGCAUUAGCUAGUUGGUGGGGUAAUGGCCUACCAAGGCGACGAUGCGUAGCCGACCUGAGAGGGUGAUCGGCCACACUGGGACUGAGACACGGCCCAGACUCCUACGGGAGGCAGCAGUAGGGAAUCUUCCGCAAUGGACGAAAGUCUGACGGAGCAACGCCGCGUGAGCGAAGAAGGCCUUCGGGUCGUAAAGCUCUGUUGUCAGGGAAGAACAAGUGCCAGAGUAACUGCUGGCACCUUGACGGUACCUGACCAGAAAGCCACGGCUAACUACGUGCCAGCCGCCGCCGUAAGAC
rnacentral:rRNA from 1 species